UGUAUAACUUCAAUUAGUUCAUUUCAUUUAAAAAUUCUUAAUUUUUAUAAAUUAACACUUAAGAUGGUAUCGCUGUUUUUUAAACGAUACUUUAAUUAGGGAUUCUUAAAGAAUAUACGGUCUCACUGUCAGCACGCGCUAGAACAACAAAGACCACCGCAGAACUUAAUUAAUUUGUACAGGACCAAUUGUAAUUAGAGAAGCGAAUCAUGUGCACCGGCUCGCCCAGCAGCAAUGGCUCCCAGUCCGAGGAGGGCAGCACCACAGAGCAGGCACCCCAGGAGCAACAAGCGGAGACUGAACGCGAGCGCCCAGCGGAGCAACAGCUGAGAACACCCACGCACGCAGUCGUGGCCGCUGCCACGGCGGAGGAUAUCCUGGCCGAGUAUGGUAGCAAUUUAAAGCUGCUCGAGUGCAACUCGCAGGUGGCCGAGCUGCUGACCAUUCUCCGCGAUAAGAACACCACACGCAGCGACUUCAAGUUCUACGCCGACCGACUGAUCCGCCUGGUGAUCGAGGAGUCGCUUAACCAGCUGCCCUACACUCACUGCGACGUGGAGACGCCCACGGGUGCCAUCUACGAGGGCCUGAAAUACCGCUCCGGCAACUGUGGCGUGUCCAUCAUCCGCUCUGGCGAGGCCAUGGAGCAGGGUCUUCGGGACUGUUGCAGAUCGAUUCGUAUCGGCAAGAUCCUGGUCGAGUCGGAUGCCAACACCCACGAGGCGCGCGUGGUGUAUGCCCGCUUCCCAGACGACAUUGGCAGUCGGCAAGUGCUGUUAAUGUACCCGAUCAUGUCCACGGGCAACACGGUGCUGCAGGCGGUCAAUGUCCUGCGCGAGCACGGUGUGCCCGAGAGCUGCAUCAUCCUUUCGAAUCUGUUCUGUACGCCAAUGGCCGCCCGCACUGUGGUGAAUGCGUUCCCCAAGCUGAAGAUCCUCACCUCCGAGCUGCACCCGGUGGCGCCCAAUCACUUUGGACAGAAAUACUUCGGUACAGACUAGAGCUAGUCGCAGACGCAAACGCAGACUUGACGACUAAGCGCGCUUAGCUGCUUAGGAUAGGUAGAAUGGCAUUUGAAAUACACAAAGCGAUACGAAGCGGUCGCGGCACUAGCGCAGUCGGGCGAGCUACCAAACUAUUUAAGCAACUUUUAGCUUUUCACAACUGGCUUUUAAUGCAACUC